UUUUUUUAUUUUUUAUUUUUUUAAAUUCGAGAUGGAGUCUCACUCUCGCCCAGACUGGAGUGCAUUGGUGCAAUCUCGGCUCACUGCAACCUUUGCCUCCUGGGUUCAAGCCAUUCUCCUGCCUCAACCUCCCAAGUAACUGGGAUUACAGGCGUGCACCACCACACCUUGCUUAUUUUUGUAUUUUAGUAGAGAUGGGGUUUUAUUUUUGUAUUUUAGUAGAGAUGGGGUUUCACCAUGUUGGCCAGGCUGGUCUUGAGUUCCUGACCUCAAGUGAUCACCUGCCUUGGCCUCCCAAAGUUCUGGGAUUACAGGCGUGUGCCACUGCACCCGGUCUAAUGUAGUGUUUUUGAGGUCCUCCACGUUGUAACAUGUAUCAGUACUUCAUUCCUUUUUAUGGCUGUAUCAUAUCUCAUUGUAUUGAUAGAGCACAUUUUGUUUAUGCACUCCUCAGUGGGUGGACAUGUGGGUUGUUUCUAAUUUUUGACUAGUCAGCUUCCUUUUUGUGUUCCAGACAUACCAGGCUACCUUUUAGCCUUUGUCCUUUUUUCAAGUAGCCACUGUUGCUGGUAUGGGAACCCUUUGUCAGCUUCAUUGUCUGUCUUUCUGGUCUGCCUGGCACUUCCUUCUUAUUUUGACUUUUAGCUUUCUGCUUUAUCUAUCAGUCUCUUAACAAGUUUGGUAGGUACUAGGUCACAGGACCUUUAAUAAAUACUCCCUGGUAAAUUAUUAAAGGUCAGAUUUCUGACCCUGCAAAGUGAAAGACCAGAGCUUUAAUAGUGAGUGCACUAAGUUGGACUUCCCUGUGUGUUAAUUUGGACCCUUGGUUAGACAUGCAGGAGAGUUUGGGAGAGUUUGUGGGGGAUGUCAUGGGGGAGGGUCGAGGAGUCUGGGAAAGCUGUCAGACUAUGAUAUAGAUCUAACCUUGGAGAAGAAAUAGGAAGGAAGGGUAGGUAGGAAAAGUCUUGUGCGGUUCUAAGACGAUUUCAGCUAGACCAAAGUGAGUUGAGCCAGAGUCACCUGUCAGGAGCCCUGCUACAUCAGUCGUCGUAAGCUGUUCAUGCUAUUGCCUCUUGGCCUCCAUCUCAGCCAUCGUGGCUGCUGUGCUCAUGCACCCAUUAUGCCAGUGCUGUGGUAGCCAGUGACAAAGGCCCAUGAACUGGGUUAAGUCAUUUCAUCGGCUUGUUUUUAUAUGUGGCAAGGAAUUGGAUCACACAAUUAUGGGAGCUGGUUAGGCAAGCCUACAAUUCAUGAAACAAGAGCUGACACCGGUGGGAUUUCUUCAGGGAAAUCUGUUUUCCUCUUAAGGCUUUCAACUGAUUGGUUGAGGCCCACCCACAUUAUCGAGGGUAAUCAUUACUUAACUGAUCAUAGAUGUUAACCACAUCUACACAAUCCACUACUCCCCCCUUACCAACGGGAUACGUUCCAAGACCCCCAGUGGAUGCCUGAAACUGGCUAAUGCUGAACCCUAAAUAUACUAUGUUUUUUCUAUACAUACAUACUUAUGAUAAAGUUUAAAUUAUAAAUUAGGUACAAUAAGAUUAACAACAAUAACAGUAAAACAGUUAUAACGAUAUACUGUAAUAAAAGUUAUGCGAAUGGAGUGUCUCUCAAAAUAUCUCACGUAUGUAAUAUUUUCCAACAACGGUUAACCACAGGUAAUUGAAACCACAGAUGGGGGGAUUACUGUACCUUCACAGCAACACCGAGUAGUGUUUGAUCAAGCAACUGGGUACUGUAGCCUAAGCCGAGCUGACACAC
ensembl:lncRNA